rnacentral:rRNA from 1 species
AACGAACGCUGGCGGCAUGCCUAACACAUGCGAGUCGAACGAAGCCUUCGGGCUUAGUGGCGCACGGGUGCGUAACGCGUGGGAAUCUGCCCCUUGCUUCGGAAUAACAGUUAGAAAUGACUGCUAAUACCGGAUGAAGUCUUCGGACCAAAGAUUUAUCGGCAAGGGAUGAGCCCGCGUAGGAUUAGGUAGUUGGUGGGGUAAAGGCCUACCAAGCCGACGAUCCUUAGCUGGUCUGAGAGGAUGAUCAGCCACACUGGGACUGAGACACGGCCCAGACUCCUACGGGAGGCAGCAGUGGGGAAUAUUGGACAAUGGACGCAAGUCUGAUCCAGCAAUGCCGCGUGAGUGAUGAAGGCCUUAGGGUUGUAAAGCUCUUUUACCAGGGAUGAUAAUGACAGUACCUGGAGAAUAAGCUCCGGCUAACUCCGUG